UCACCCUACUGGGGAGCCUGGGUGGCUCAGUUAAGCAUCUGACACUGGACCUCGGCUCGUGGCAUGACCUCACCAUUUGUGAGCUCGAGCCCCGCGUCGGGCUCUGUGCUGGCAGCGUGGAGCCUGCUUGGGAUUCUCUCUCUCCCUCUCUCUCUCUGCCCCUCCCCUGCUUGCGAGCAUGCAUGCCAGCGCUUUCUCUCCCUCUCUCAAAAUAAGGAAAGAAAAACAUUUAAAAAAAAAAAAGGCACCUGGAUAGAAUUUGCAGGCAAUCUGCUCACAAGCUGUCUGGCAGUUAGAACAAAGGUCUCUUUGACUCUGGGAUUGGGAAAAGAAAGGCUCUUGCCAAAAUAAAGAAAAGCUAGCAAUUGUUGGGAGGAAACCCGGCUGGUAACCAGAAGGUGAGAAAGGAAUACUGAUCAUUCCUGUGCUUUCAAAGGUACCACUCCUUCCUUCCUCCUCCCUGGAAUCCUUUAUGGAAAACCUAAGACCUAUACUUUUAGAAAGAAGCCCUCUGAAACUAAAGGUUGAAGGUGUAUUUAUGAAGGUGAGGCAUCAAUUAAAAAACUCGUCGGGCGGCUCUUCGUGAUUAGGCACUGCGGAGGAGUUUUUAGAAAUCACCUAGUUUCACGUGUACAGAACUAGAACUUUCCGGCUGGGGAAACCGAGGCCCGCGGAAUACACACCAAAACGCAAAAUGUUACAAAGGAAAACAAGAGCGAAAAAGCGCUCGAAAUAGGAAACGAACAUUGUGCGGCUGCGCAGACCGCAGCUGGACGGGACCCUCCCACGGGAACGGUCCCGCGAACACGCAGGCAGCCUCACGAGGUCCCGGGCGCCUGCAGCGUCUAUAUGCAGACUGGGGGCCCAGAGACACAACACGGUUCGGCGGUGGAGACGGGCCACAACAACCAGAGGACGGUGAAUGUCCACAUGCAACAGGAUGACGUUGGACCUCCUUCUCACACCAUAAGCAAAUGGACAUCAGCUGGUGAAUGGAUGAAUGAAGUGUGGUAACUCUAUACACUGGAAUAUUAUUCUGCAACGAAAAGGAGUGACGUAAUGCACACAUUCUUCAACAUGGAUAAACCUUGGAAGCAUGUUGCUAAGUGAAGGAAGGCACACAUUAAAGGCCACAUGUUCAGAUUUCAUAUAUAUGAGAGUUCCAUAAUGGGCAAAUCCAAAGACAAAAAGCAGAUGAGUGGUUUCCACAGUCUGGGGACAGAGGGUCAUGGAAAGUAAUAGCUAAUGGAUAGCAGGUUUCUCUGGGGGUGAUGAAAUGUCCUAAAAUCAAUCGUGGUGAUGGUUGCACAACUCUGUGAAAACACCAAAACAAAACAAAACAUUGAAUUGUACACUUGGAGUGAAUUUUAUGGUAUAUACAUUUCAUCACAAUAAAGCUGCCGAAAACACGCUUA